rnacentral:lncRNA from 1 species
CCAAAAGAAAGGCUAAAUGUGCUCAUGGUCUUUCUGUCUACAUAUUCCCCUUUCAUUCCCCUCUCUCACAUUUGUAAUCCUGUAAUGAACUCAUAUGUCUUUAUCUUUUAGUGCCACCCCUGCUAUAUUCCUGAAACUGAACCCCUGGGUUUCUGGUUAUCCAUUUUCAGGAAAUAAAAAGACAGGGAGAGACUUCUAAUUCAUUUGUCAUCAGAAAGGUUCCAUCUCUUUUGUAAAAGGGGUGAUAAAUUAUGCUGAGAAAAGGACAACUUUAAACAAAACUUGAAAAAUGGAGAAUAUUUCUAUUUGAAGAAGCAUUUUAUUCAUCUAAAUUUAUUCUAAGGAAAAUAAUCAUUGCAGACUGAUACUGCCUUAUGGACCCUCCGUUUUUGAAGAUACCACAGGCUACCACAGAUGGUACUAAGGUAGAAAGGUCUCAACUUUGGGCCCAGAGAUGUCUGUCCAGAUAUGGAACAAUCUACUUACAUUUGGAGAAUCUCAUCAAAUCAAGGGGAAGAUAACACAUAAAAAAGAAGCUGAAAAGUCCAAAAGCCAAAAGAGGAGGAAAAUAUACUGGCCCAGGUGCUGCCCUUCAGUGGAAUUUCUAGGAGGAGCCAUUGGAUGACUGAGAUAAACUAUGGAGACAAAGAUGACAACUUCCUUGAAAAGCACAAGAUUUUGGAAAUCAGCCUGUACAUGUUUGAGAUGAAACUGCAAAUCCCUGACUGCCUUUUUUCUGCCUGGCUAUUUGCUUCCCUGUUACAUGUUAGCAGCCAGAAAUCCUGAGAAGCAGAUUAUUUCCAGCCUUGGUGAUGACCUAAUGAGUUGAGAUUUCUGAUUUGGAUGCUAGCUGAACAGGGAAGGUAAUUUCCCUACCACUAAGCCUCUCAGAGAAGGAAAGGACCAUUCCUGCAUAGGGAAGAUUAAAGAAGGACAUGUACCAAGAUUGAGAGAUACUUGUAACUGUGAGUUACUUAGACAAUUCAGGUUCAAGCUAACUGGGAAUGAAGAGUUUGCCACUUAAUUGCACAAAAUUCCCCUUGCCUUCUUAAGAAAGUAAAAUAAGGAGAGUGAUCAAAUAUUUGUUGUUUUCUGCAUUUGUUUUAGCUUUAGAUUUGACUUAUAUUGUAUCGUAAAUAGUUUAUUAUUUGAAGAAAUACAAUAUUCUAUCUGGAUCUCCUAUUUCACUUUCUUAUUUUUUAAUUGUACAUUUUCGAGAAGAGAUCUUGUCUGUGUUUUGAGGAGAUCCUUGUAUCCUUGUCUUAGUGAAACCCAAGUUUUAGUUUAGAGAUUUCCUCUUAGUUUUACUCAAAGAUUAUAGAAGAGUCAGAGAGCAAAAAAAUCGCUUUUUUGGUGGGAGUCAGGGCCACUAGCAGCUUGG